AUGUGUUUCUUGAGAUAUCACUUACCUUUCAAACAAGUAGCAGUUGAGUUUCGGUCGUCAGACUUGGCUGUCUCUGGAUUCAUACAGUUAUUCUGUUCUGGUAACCUGAUCCAGCACAACAGGUCCUCCCAAGGAAGCUCGCUUGCUCUUCUCACCCCAUCGCCUCCGAUGGGACCGAGUCAUUGCAUUCAGAGUGCACACAGUGACACCUCCGAGAGACUUGGGCUGUUCUCUUGUCUCACUUCUGCUCUCUCCCAGGCUGGAUGCACGCCCUGGAGAUGGGGAUCAGGAUAG
rnacentral:lncRNA from 1 species